AUUCUGGCUCAGGAUGAACGCUGGCGGCGUGCUUAACACAUGCAAGUCGAACGGGAUCCCAGGAGCUUGCUCCUGGGUGAGAGUGGCGAACGGGUGAGUAAUGCGUGACCGACCUGCCCCAUACACCGGAAUAGCUCCUGGAAACGGGUGGUAAUGCCGGAUGCUCCAGUUGGAUGCAUGUCCUUCUGGGAAAGAUUCAUCGGUAUGGGAUGGGGUCGCGUCCUAUCAGCUUGAUGGCGGGGUAACGGCCCACCAUGGCUUCGACGGGUAGCCGGCCUGAGAGGGCGACCGGCCACAUUGGGACUGAGAUACGGCCCAGACUCCUACGGGAGGCAGCAGUGGGGAAUAUUGCACAAUGGGCGCAAGCCUGAUGCAGCGACGCCGCGUGCGGGAUGACGGCCUUCGGGUUGUAAACCGCUUUUGACUGGGAGCAAGCCCUUCGGGGUGAGUGUACCUUUCGAAUAAGCACCGGCUAACUACGUGCCAGCAGCCGCGGUAAUACGUAGGGUGCAAGCGUUAUCCGGAAUUAUUGGGCGUAAAGGGCUCGUAGGCGGUUCGUCGCGUCCGGUGUGAAAGUCCAUCGCUUAACGGUGGAUCCGCGCCGGGUACGGGCGGGCUUGAGUGCGGUAGGGGAGACUGGAAUUCCCGGUGUAACGGUGGAAUGUGUAGAUAUCGGGAAGAACACCAAUGGCGAAGGCAGGUCUCUGGGCCGUCACUGACGCUGAGGAGCGAAAGCGUGGGGAGCGAACAGGAUUAGAUACCCUGGUAGUCCACGCCGUAAACGGUGGAUGCUGGAUGUGGGGACCAUUCCACGGUCUCCGUGUCGGAGCCAACGCGUUAAGCAUCCCGCCUGGGGAGUACGGCCGCAAGGCUAAAACUCAAAGAAAUUGACGGGGGCCCGCACAAGCGGCGGAGCAUGCGGAUUAAUUCGAUGCAACGCGAAGAACCUUACCUGGGCUUGACAUGUAAUGAACAACAUGUGAAAGCAUGCGACUCUUCGGAGGCGUUACACAGGUGCUGCAUGGCCGUCGUCAGCUCGUGUCGUGAGAUGUUUGGUUAAGUCCAGCAACGAGCGCAACCCCUGUUGCCAGUUACCAGCACGUGAAGGUGGGGACUCUGGCGAGACUGCCCAGAUCAACUGGGAGGAAGGUGGGGACGACGUCAGGUCAGUAUGGCCCUUAUGCCCAGGGCUGCACACGUACUACAAUGCCCAGUACAGAGGGGGCCGAAGCCGCGAGGCGGAGGAAAUCCUAAAAACUGGGCCCAGUUCGGACUGUAGGCUGCAACCCGCCUACACGAAGCCGGAAUCGCUAGUAAUGGCGCAUCAGCUACGGCGCCGUGAAUACGUUCCCGGGUCUUGUACACACCGCCCGUCACAUCAUGGAAGCCGGUCGCACCCGAAGUAUCUGAAGCCAACCGCAAGGAGGCAGGGUCCUAAGGUGAGACUGGUAACUGGGAUGAAGUCGUAACAAGGUAGCCGUAGGGGAACCUGCGGCUG
rnacentral:rRNA from 1 species